rnacentral:rRNA from 1 species
UGCGAAGCGAAGCAGUGAUGUGAAGCAAAUCGCACCAAAGCCAGUCCCAGUUCGGAUAAGAGGCUGAAACUCGCCNCUUUGAAGUCGGAAUCGCUAGUAAUCGCAGAUCAGCAUGUUGCGGUGAAUACGUUCCCGGGUCUUGUACACACCGCCCGUCAAACCAUGAGAGUCACCAACACCCGAAGUCCGCCUUGGCGGCCUAAGGUGGGGGAGAUGAUUGGGGUUAAGUCGUAACAAGGUAAC